ACCCCAGCGCAGGGGUGCUGCAUGGAGGACAUGCCUACUGCAGGCUCCCAGCAGGCACUCCUUUUGUCAUGCUAGCUGUAAGACCUGGCAGCUGGCAAACACAUUCAUAUGCCAUUCAGCCACCCUUGUCAGCUCGCAGGGAAGGAAGCAGAACCUGCAACCUGCAGCCACUAUCACCCCACACCAGAUGCACUGAGAAUGUGGGCAGAGCUUGCUGAACAAUUCAGAACAGUUUAUUGAAUCUGCAGGAAGCCUAAACGCGUCUGGAGGAGAGACCUGCAGAGUAACUGGAAAUUAAAUGUAUUUCUCCCUGCAUCACAGGAUCAUUUGCAGUGGAUGUGUGUAUGUGACAAUGGCAACAACUCUGUUAAUACCUUAUUCCAUUUGAGAAGAAAAGAAACAAGGACAAAAAUCAGAAGUCUCUGAAGAGUUUAAGAAGAGGGCGAAUAACAAAUGCAUUGCAGAUAUUCUUUUAAUGCUCCCAUUUGAUGCAUUCUCUUGAAGCAUGAAAAUGUUUUAAGAACAGUACGUGGGAAAAUUUUGAAUCUGAACCCUGAGAAGAGGAAAAAAGAAGGCUGUCAGGUACUUUAAAGAGAUGAUCUAAACAUUAAAAAUGUCAUUAUAUAUGCUGAAAUAGGUGUACCCAAAACCAACAGCUAAAUUAUUGGGAUGCAAUCACAAAUAUUUAGUUUAUAAAAACAAGAGUGAAAUAUAAUUUUACUGCUGGUGAUAAAACUAAAAAUUAAUAACCUUCAAAUCAUCUUCUACAUGAAUGGAAGUCAUAACAUGAAACAAAACAUUAUCAUUUAUCCUUGAGUCAUGAAGCAGAAAUAAAAGACAACUGAAAGGUUUGAGCCAAUCUUUGCCCCCGGACACAUCACUAGAAUUUCACUGAUGCUGCAGCUAUAACUGUGGGCUAGGUAAGCCUCAAAAUGCAAGAGUUAAGUAGUAUAAUUUCUACUAUAGACUGCAGCUUUGUAAUAAUAGUACUUGCAUCCUGUGUAUGUUACAUGUAUAUGAUUGCUUUUCCUCCAAAGCAGCAUAGCACUGUUCUGGCAAGAAUGGAUGUGGUUGCUGGAAUUGGCCUCUUUCAGUUUCAGUUCUUCUACCACCGACCAACUCUUCUCUAACACCAAAGUAAAAGAUUAUUUUAUUCAUGUGAUGAUUGCAAAUCACGAUAUUAAAAAAGUGUUUCUGAAUAUUAA